GCAUACUUCACUAAACUAGUAAAAAAUCAGUUACUUCCAUAAUCAACCCUAAUGUAAUCUUCACCCCCAUGUAGUCACUGAAUCACCGUUUUCCCCCUCAUUCAAAGAAACCCAAAUUUCCUUAGUGUCAUUUUGUCAAACAUUUCACGUGCAUAACCCGGGAACCCACAAAAAUAGACAAUUUCGUUUGCCUAUUCAACAAUAACUGCAGUGAUUUG
rnacentral:lncRNA from 1 species